UACGAAGGGGGCAAGCGUUGUCCGGAAUCAUUGGGCGUAAAGCGCGUGUAGGCGGCUCGGUAAGUCCGCUCUGAAAGUCCAGGGCUCAACCCUGGGAUGCGGGUGGAUACUGCCGGGCUCGAGUCCGGAAGAGGCGAGUGGAAUUCCCGGUGUAGCGGUGAAAUGCGCAGAUAUCGGGAGGAACACCAAUGGCGAAGGCAGCUCGCUGGGACGUGACUGACGCUGAGACGCGAAAGCGUGGGGAGCAAACAGG
rnacentral:rRNA from 1 species